ACGCUCGACACCUAUGGGAGGCAGCAGUGGGGAAUAUUGCACAAUGGGGGAAACCCUGAUGCAGCGACGCCGCGUGAGCGAAGAAGUAUCUCGGUAUGUAAAGCUCUAUCAGCAGGGAAGAAGAUGACGGUACCUGACUAAGAAGCACCGGCUAAAUACGUGCCAGCAGCCACGGUAAUCUGAGCGGGCUGGCAAGGC
rnacentral:rRNA from 1 species